AUUGAACGCUGGCGGCAGGCCUAACACAUGCAAGUCGAGCGGAUGAAGGGAGCUUGCUCCUGGAUUCAGCGGCGGACGGGUGAGUAAUGCCUAGGAAUCUGCCUGGUAGUGGGGGAUAACGUCCGGAAACGGGCGCUAAUACCGCAUACGUCCUGAGGGAGAAAGUGGGGGAUCUUCGGACCUCACGCUAUCAGAUGAGCCUAGGUCGGAUUAGCUAGUUGGUUGGGUAAAGGCCUACCAAGGCGACGAUCCGUAACUGGUCUGAGAGGAUGAUCAGUCACACUGGAACUGAGACACGGUCCAGACUCCUACGGGAGGCAGCAGUGGGGAAUAUUGGACAAUGGGCGAAAGCCUGAUCCAGCCGAGCCGGGUGUGUGAAGAAGGUCUUCGGAUUGGAAAGCACUUUAAGUUGGGAGGAAGGGCAGUAAGUUAAUACCUUGCUGUUUUGACGGUACCAACAGAAUAAGCACCGGCUAACUUCGUG
rnacentral:rRNA from 1 species